rnacentral:rRNA from 1 species
CCCACAACCUAAAUUCAACAAACAACAUUAAUAAACCCACACUCCGAACCCGCUAAACAGCCAAACCAUUUUACCACCCUAGUAUAGGCGAUAGAAAAGGACACCCCGCGCAAUAGAAAAAGUACCGCAAGGGAAAGCUGAAAGAGAAAUGAAACAACCCAGUAAAGAGAAGAGAAGCAGAGACAAUCACUC